ACGGAGGGUGCGAGCGUUAAUCGGAAUUACUGGGCGUAAAGGGCACGUAGGCGGUUUCGUAAGUGGGAUGUGAAAGCCCCGGGCUCAACCUGGGAGGGUCAUCUCAAACUGCGGGGCUAGAGUAUGGUAGAGGGAGGUAGAAUUUCCGGUGUAGCGGUGAAAUGCGUAGAGAUCGGAAGGAAUACCGGUGGCGAAGGCGGCCUCCUGGACCAAUACUGACGCUGAGGUGCGAAAGCGUGGGGAGCAAACAGG
rnacentral:rRNA from 1 species